rnacentral:rRNA from 1 species
GAUGAACGCUGGCGGCGUGCUUAACACAUGCAAGUCGAACGAUGAAGCCCAGCUUGCUGGGUGGGUUAGUGGCGGACGGGUGAGUAACACGUGGGAACGUGCCUUUAGGUUCGGAAUAACUCAGGGAAACUUGUGCUAAUACCGAAUGUGCCCUUCGGGGGAAAGAUUAAUCGCCUUUAGAGCGGCCCGCGUCUGAUUAGCUAGUUGGUUGAGGUAAUGGCUCACCAAGGCGACGAUCAGUAGCUGGUCUGAGAGGAUGAUCAGCCACAUUGGGACUGAGACACGGCCCAAACUCCUACGGGAGGCAGCAGUGGGGAAUCUUGCGCAAUGGGCGAAAGCCUGACGCAGCCAUGCCGCGUGAAUGAUGAAGGUCUUAGGAUUGUAAAAUUCUUUCACCGGGGACGAUAAUGACGGUACCCGGAGAAGAAGCCCCGGCUAACUUCGUG